GACGAACGCUGGCGGCGUGCUUAACACAUGCAAGUCGAACGGUGACCCAGGGCUUGCCCUGGUGAUCAGUGGCGAACGGGUGAGUAACACGUGGGGCAACCUGCCCCUGACUUCGGGAUAACUCCUCGAAAGAGGAGCUAAUACCGGAUACGACCACUUCGGACAUCCGAUGGUGGUGGAAAGUUUUUCGGUCAGGGAUGGGCCCGCGGCCUAUCAGCUAGUUGGUGGGGUAAUGGCCUACCAAGGCGACGACGGGUAGCCGGCCUGAGAGGGCGACCGGCCACACUGGGACUGAGACACGGCCCAGACUCCUACGGGAGGCAGCAGUGGGGAAUAUUGCGCAAUGGGCGAAAGCCUGACGCAGCGACGCCGCGUGAGGGAUGAAGGCCUUCGGUUGUAACUACUUUCAGCAGGGACGAAGCGAAAGUAGACGGUACCUGCAGAAGAAGACACCGGCUAACUACGUGCCAGCAGCCGCGGUAAU
rnacentral:rRNA from 1 species